rnacentral:tRNA from 1 species
UCCCUGGUGGCUCAGAUGGCAAAGCAUCUGCUUGCAAUGCGGGAGACCCUGGUUCGAUCCCUGGAUUGGGAA